rnacentral:lncRNA from 1 species
CCUAGAGAUGGAGGAAAACGUCAAAGUAAUGGAAUACAAUAUCCUUGUCUUUGAGUAGAAGAUACAAGGCUCAGAAUGACUAAGAAACAUACAGCUAGUGAGUGGUACAGGCUGGAUCUGGACCCAGAUGUGUCUCGCUCCAGAAUCCAUGCUUCUUCCACUCUGUCUCUGAAUUGGGAAUCAAAAGAUCUGCCAGAAGCUAAAAGAGCAAAUGUGUGAUUGAAAAACCAAUGACUGCUCUAAACUCACCUAAAGAGUCAGUGAGAAGGGAGAAUGUUUAACAGUGAAGCGCAGAAAAGGGCAGGGUCUGAGGAGCAGAACUGGGAGAUGAUUUAGCUCCGUGCAGCAGAAAGUUUGGUGACUGACGGAUACACAUCAAAUGGUUUCCCUGAAACACAGGCAGUGUUCCGGCUUUACAAGGCUGGGAUGCUGUCUCCCUUAUCUUUUAUGCGAGAUUUUAUCAUCGGCUUCCUGGAUACCUUGUUAGAGAGGAAUACGUGCUCUCUGUACCGCGGAGGACCCGGAAAGGAACAGUUCAGUGCUGGAAAGGAAAUUGCAGUUCACAGAGUAAAACACCGAUGAUCCCAUUGAUACCCUGGCCUCUAGUGAAUUCUAUUAGCAUGAGCCUCUUUCUCCGUGUACCUAAUCAGUAUGUCAUACUAAUGAGAUGAAGUUUCUGAAUGUGCACAUCUAAGAGAAGAAUACCAUAAAGGAAUCCUACUAUGAGGCCCCUAGAUGGCUAACCAGAGGGCCUCUUUCUGGUGACGCCGACCCUUGAGAAGUUCAACAAAGCGAGGUGCAUAUCACUGAGCACUUUCCAUCCCUUGCUGCGUCUCCACUUCCUGGAAACCUUUUCUGCUCAAAUUAUCCUACUUAAAGUUUUUGUUUAGAAGUGGCAUACAUCAAUCCUUUUUUUUUUUUUUUUUUUUUUUAGACAGAGUCUUGCUCUGUCGCCCAGGCUGUAGGAGUGCGAUGGCGCGAUCUCGGCUGACUGCAACCUCUGCCUCCCAGUUUCAAGCGAUUCUCCUGCCUCAGCCACCCGAGUAGCUGGGAUUAUAGGCACCCGCCAUCAUGCCGGUUAAUUUUUGCAUUUUUGUAGAUAUGGGGUUUCAACAUGUUGACCAGGCUGGUCUUGAACUCCCGAUCUCAGGUGAUCCGCCCACCUCAGCCUCCCAAAGUGCUGGGAUUACAGGCCUGAGUCACCGUGUCCAGCCGCAUACAGCAAUUCUAUUCACAUUUUACUCAUCAAAGCAAGUCACAUGGCCAAGCCUCAUGUAAAUGAUGUGUGCAAGUAUAAUUUUCCAUAGUAAAGGCAACAAAUAAUUGGGAGUAAUAGUGUAAUCUACUACGUGGCAUGGAUUUGCUUACUAAUUUGUUUAAUUGAAGAUUCUAUUCUUUCCAGCAAUCAAAAAGAAUGUUGUCUCUCUUCAAUAAAUUCCCUGUUACUUCUAUUGGAAUUUGGUUUAAUGGUUCAUAUUUAAAAGUAUUUUGCUGGUUGUUUCCACUUAAGAAUUUUGAUUUACUUCUCUAAGUUAUCAGCUUUGCUUCAGUAACAAACAGGUACAAAAAUGUCAGUUGCUUACAAUAAAAACCAUGUGUAUGUCUUGCUUGUGUUACAUGUGAGUCUACCACAGUCAGCCCG